ensembl:lncRNA
CACCUAUCCCCCUCAUUCCUCAAAUGGAAAGCCAUGCAAUGCAUAUUAUUCAAAUUCUGUGUUGGUUUUUUGGUUGAUUGGUUUUCUUUUCAUAGUUACAAAAUCAUACGAGAACAAAGUAAGUCAUGUACAAAUUAUGGAGUAAAACUAACAAAAAGUAAUAAUAUUACGGAGGCCGUAGUUUUCCAGGUGCACUUGGGUGGAAGAGAGAAUGAUGGAUUAUUCACGAGUCUGUGAGGCACUUCAGUCGAUGCAGUUACUGAAACUGAGACUAAAACUUGGACUGAAACUGAGAAGCUGAGUGGAAAAACAGGAGGAGACGCCUGUCCUGCUGAACAGUACUUUAUGUCGUAUUGGGUUGUGUUCAAAAUGGAGGAAAAUUAUACAAAAUCAGAGCAGCGAGCCGUUACUGCCAGAACCUGUCCAAUGGGAAAAGCCUGAGUGUUUGUUGUUGUUGAAAACGUUUUGAAAUGUUUUGCACUCCAAUGAACACGCCCCCGACGGAGAUGUGGGAACUGUGCCCUUCCAUUGAGAAGCAACGUGCUUUAAUGUCUUACCUUUGUUCGGAUAUUACAAUGUAAUGUGGGAGGACAGGUAACUUAUUGUUAAGUGUAAACGAUCUGUUGUUUCACUGCAGGGUCAUGUACAGGUCUAAUCAACAGGGUUAGGAGUUUUCCCUGAAUGCAAAGGACCUCUCUCUAGGUCCUAGGUGUAAAACUCAUCCGGUGAAACUCCGGAGAGUCCCCCUGUGUACUUGGAUGCAUUUUAUUCCUGUCAGGUCAAAUUAUCAGAUUGAACAUCCCAGGUCAAUCCCAGGUCAAUGAAGGGGAAAUCGGUGCGGCCAUGUUUUUUUCCAGACCGUUCGGUCUGAGGUAAAAACUCUUGGUAUUUUAAAUAGGAAAUGUGCCUGAUUACAGGUCUGUGGUGUUCUUUAUAGAGGAGAAGGCAUUCGGUGGAUAUGGUUCAUUAACAGGCAGACCCAGACAUAAGUGGAUUCCUCUCCAUAAUAUGCAUUUGCAGAGAUCUCGACGGAUUGGAGACGUAAGUAUAUUGCAAAGAGGCUAUUUAGUCGUUCAGAUGUUGCUGUUACCAGAUUGCAUUUCAUCCAAUCCUCUAAGAUCCCCACAAGUGUGGAGAGGUUGGAUUCGGGAUCAGAUCAAGGAUAGGGACAGCGAAGACACUGGGCUUCAAAUGAAAGGUCCCUUAUUUAGCGGUAACAAUGUCUGUUUUUUCCGAUUGUGCCCUCGUACUUCUACUACCUUUUUGGACUCAAAAGGAAUAGACCGUUGUAAGGAACACUGUGCUUACUGGACCAUGUGCACGGCAUCUCCAAGACGGAGAGAACAAUGUGAUGGGUGGAUCACACUGGGUCCAGAGUCGGAAGCAGCCAUUAUCUUGUGAACAGGGUAUGUAGACGCCAGGUAGAGAGCUGGGGGUUAAAGUUCGUCCGACAAGAGUUUUAGUUUAGUAUUGUGUUUAUUUUUUUUUUGAAUUGUGUUUCAUUUCCAUGUGAGAGAUACUUCUGAGUAUUGAAUAAAAAAAACCUUGAUAUGACCGAACUUAUGAUUAUAUAUAAAUGCCGUUACUUAAGAGCUGACUCGGAGUCAGCUUAUCCACCACUGUGCUCUUUUUGGUUGACUUGAACUUGCCCUUAAUCCCGAUCUUGAUCUCAAACUUGAUCUUUGAAUUUUUCAACUGUAGUGAAGUUAAGAAGCGUACUUGGAUCAGUGCUCUCGUUCUUGUUGUUGUGUUUCAUUACGUCUGUGUCCCAAACGACACCCUAUUCUCUAUGAGUCUAUAGUGCACUAAACCCAAUGGGCACUCUGGUCAAAGGUAGUGCACUAAACCCAAUGGGCACUCUGGUCAAAGGUAGUGCACUAAACCCAAUGGGCACUCUGGUCAAAGGUAGUGCACUAAACCCAAUGGGCACUCUGUUCAAAGGUAGUGCCCUAAACCCAAUGGGCACUUUGUUCAAAGGUAGUGCACUAAACCCAAUGGGCACUCUGGUCAAAGGUAGUGCACUAAACCCAAUGGGCACUCUGGUCAAAGGUUGUGCACUAUAUUGUGAAUCGGGGGUCAUUUGGGAUGCACACUUUUCAAUAUUGUGUGUAUUGAGAACUGCGCUCCCCAUUCCCGACCAAUCACAGACCAGAGAAGCCCUGGCUGGGACAGGAGUGACCUAUCAUGAUAGAGAAGACAAACCUGAACAUGCCCACACUGGAUGUUCCAUGGCAUCACUGUUAGAUCCACGACACGGGGAACACUCGUGUUCGUGUGGUAGUGACUCCAGGUGGGUGCCCACAUCCUCAUCACUCAAACCAUCGAAAAUGUAACGUUAGAAUUCUUCAUAAGACCUGUCGUCUGAGCUGGUAGCUGUGUGUGGGCUGUGGCCUUAGCCUUAUUUCACACUUAUAGUAUCUCCAGGGGCCAAUCAAAUGGCAUCCUGUUUCCCAUGCACUCCCACUUGCCCUGGUGAGAAGUCGUGCUCUGAACAGCGGCAGUGGGGUGCCAUUUGGCAGGCUUACGGAGGAAUAUAUAGAUGGAGAAAAACUUUGUUCAAAAAUUAUCUUGCCAAUACAUUUAUUUUUUGAAUUUCAUCGUCAGAGGGGACAAAUCAAGUUUGGAUGUCGGAUUUUAGCAAUACUCAACUCAUACUGGCUACUCUUGUUUAUUGCAAUAAUAAAAAUCAACAAAUAUGUAUGUGAGUUAAAUAUUAUCAAUGUAAUUUAAAAUGAAAAAUAAACUUUAUGAAAAUGCUGUUGUUGUCUGUCGAGGGGAAGCUAAUGGUGGGAAAAAAAUAAAUGUCAAUAAAUGAAUAAAAAUCUAAAUUGAAACCUCUGCAGCUUACUUGUGUGAGUCAAAGCGGCACAGAGUAAAUAUUUAACUUGAACUGUUGGAAAUAAACAUAUUACGCUCACCGC